GAUGAACGCUGGCGGCGUGCCUAAUACAUGCCAGUCGAACGCUGAAGGAGGAGCUUGCUCUUCUGGAUGAGUUGCGAACGGGUGAGUAACGCGUAGGUAACCUGCCUGGUAGCGGGGGAUAACUAUUGGAAACGAUAGCUAAUACCGCAUGACAACAGUUAUUGCAUGAUAACUGUUUAAAAGGGGCAACUGCUCCACUACCAGAUGGACCUGCGUUGUAUUAGCUAGUUGGUGAGGUAACGGCUCACCAAGGCGACGAUACAUAGCCGACCUGAGAGGGUGAUCGGCCACACUGGGACUGAGACACGGCCCAGACUCCUACGGGAGGCAGCAGUAGGGAAUCUUCGGCAAUGGACGGAAGUCUGACCGAGCAACGCCGCGUGAGUGAAGAAGGUUUUCGGAUCGUAAAGCUCUGUUGUAAGAGAAGAACGAGUGUGAGAGUGGAAAGUUCACACUGUGACGGUAUCUUACCAGAAAGGGACGGCUAACUACGUG
rnacentral:rRNA from 1 species